AAACCUACACACCUUCCACUCAACAAAACAUCUGAGAAAACGUCAUAAAUUCGCGCAUGCGCACUGGGGAAAACAGAGGAACUAAAUUCUCCGGAACACCUGUUGUGCUGCGCAGAAGUUAUUUAGGUUCAGAUAUUCUUCAUCACAAGAUUAGCAGCAGCUCAGCAGGAAGAGGAAAAUUACACAGCUUCAGUAUGAACCCAAACUUUCCAAAUCAGCCUGGACAGCCUCCUUAUGGUAACAUACCGUACCCACCUUCACAGCCAAACCAGCCGGGGUAUGGUGGCCCAGGAUCAUAUCCAGGUGGGCCAUGCAAUCCUCCCAUGGGUCCAGGAUCAUAUCCAGGUGGGCCAUGCAAUCCUCCCACGGGCCCAGGAUCAUAUCCAGGUGGGCCAUGCAAUCCUCCCACGGGCCCAGGAUCAUAUCCAGGUGGGCCAUGCAAUCCACCAACGGGCCCAGGAUCAUAUCCAGGUGGGCCAUGCAAUCCACCCACGGGCCAAGGAUACGGUCCCGGCUAUAGUCCCGGGCCUGGCUAUGGUCCCGGGCCUGGUUAUGGUCCCGGGCCUGGCUAUGGUCCCGGUCAUGGGCCUGGUCAUGGUUGUGGGCACGGUCAUGGGCACGGUCAUGGGCAUGGCAAACAUGGGAAGAAACAUGGGAAGAAACAUGGAAAGGGUGGCAAGGCGCUGAGCCCUACAGUACCGCGACGUAAAAAGCGGCUGCCGAUACUACACCACCCGGUCAACAAAACACCUGAGGAAACGUCAUGGGUUCGCGCAUGCGCACUGACGGGGAAACAGGAACUAAAUUCUCCAGAACACUUGUGCUGCGUAGAAGUUGUUUAGGUUCAGGUAUUCUUCAUCAUCAAGAUCAGCAGGAAGGAAGGAGUCUCAUACUACCAGCAGCAUGAACCCAAGCUAUCCAUAUGGUCCUUAUCCUCCUUUCCCAGGCCAAUGCCCACCAUCAUCACAGCCAGGAUGGGGAGGUCCCUAUAAUCCACCAGUCAACCAAGGCUUUUUUCCAGCAGGACAUGGGCCUUUUCAUUCACACGGACAUCAUAAUGGUCAUGGGCCUCAUCAUGUGCUUGGGCAUCCUCAUGGCUUUGGGCCUCACCAUGGGCCUCACCAUGGGCAUCACCAUGGGCCUCACCAUGGGCAUCACCAUGGACAUCACCACGGCCAUGGACAUUGCUAACAUGGCAAAAACUAAAGUGCAUGGACCUCUAGGAGCCAAUGCAGUCUGUGGUGACUGAAGAGUGAAUGAAGAUCCUCUUCACAUGGAAUAAACAAGCUGACCUUCUUUCACCCUCUGUCGAAUACCUUGCUUUACAUU